rnacentral:rRNA from 1 species
AUUGAACGCUGGCGGCAGGCCUAACACAUGCCAGUCGAACGGAAGCAGGGUGCUAGCUUCUGCAUACGGGUGCGGAGGGGUGGAUGGGGCCGGAGAAUCUCCGUAGUUGCGGGGUAUAACGUCCUAACAUGGGCGAAAAUACCAUAAUAGCGCUGAGGGAGAACGGGGGAGAUCAUGGGACCUCCCGCUCUCAGGUGAUGCUAUGUCGGAUUAGCUAGUUGGGGGGGUAAAGGCCUACCAAGGCGACGAUCCGUAGCUGGUCUGAGAGGAUGAUCAGCCACACUGGAACUGAGACACGGUCCAGACUCCUACGGGAGGCAGCAGUGGGGAAUAUUGGACAAUGGGCGCAAGCCUGAUCCAGCCAUGCCGCGUGCGUGAAGAAGGUCUUCGGGUUGUAAAGCACUUUUGUUUGGAAAGAAAGGCAGCAGGUUAAUACCCUGCUGUUUUGACGGUACCAAAAGAAUAAGCACCGGCUAACUUCGUG